CAUCAUUCGCAUUGUUUUAUUCUGCAAGUCAAUAUUUCAAAAAGAAUAUAUAGAUUGGUGUUGCUAAUAUCCAGCACUCAAUAUUGCAAAACUAGCUUAAGUACAAAAGUAAUUGGGGCAAGUCGCUUCAGAAUUAACCAAGCAGUAUGGUUUUCUUAGCUUUAACUUUUCAGAAAGCAAGGAUCUUAUAGUAGUUUUCGAAGAAUGCAGAGGUUAUUCAUAAAAUAUUUUAGCCGUCUAGUUGUUGCCUGAAAUGAGUUCAUCUCAUUUUUAAUUAACUGUAA